rnacentral:lncRNA from 1 species
UAUCGAAAUCUAUAACGAGACGGUCGUAGACCUCUUGAACCGUGAUUCUGGUGCCCUUCGUCUCUUGGAUGAUCCCGAGGUACAGUGGUGGAGAAGCUGACGGAGGAGGUCGUAAGAAAAAGUCAGCAUCUUAGGAGCUUAAUUGCUACUUGUGAAGAUCAAAGGCAAGUCGGUGAAACAUCUUUGAACGAUAGAAGCUCAAGAUC